rnacentral:rRNA from 1 species
CUCAGGGACUGCGGAUGACAUUAUCGAAUCAUUUGAGAAGUGGGUUGUAGCUGGCCUCUAGUAGAGGCAUGUGCACACCCUGCUCAAAAUUCUCUCUACCCCUGUGCAUUUAUUGUAGGCCUUGUAUGAGAAGAUAGACUUGAUUGUCUGUUGGAUACAUCUUGGCUUAUGUUUUUUUCUUAUUAUCAACUCUGUAUCAGAAUGUCCUAUUAUGAUGUUUAAUACACAUCUUUAUACAACUUUCAGCAACGGAUCUCUUGGCUCUCGCAUCGAUGAAGAACGCAGCGAAAUGCGAUAAGUAAUGUGAAUUGCAGAAUUCAGUGAAUCAUCGAAUCUUUGAACGCACCUUGCGCUCCUUGGUAUUCCGAGGAGCAUGCCUGUUUGAGUGUCAUGAAAUUCUCAACCUGUACAAAUUUGUUUUUGUAAGAGUGGUUGGACUUGGAGGGAUUUGUCAGUUGCAUGAACUGGCUCCUCUUAAAUAUAUUAGCUUGGUUCAUUAUGGAUCAGCUCUUGGUGUGAUAGUAAAAAUGUCUACGCCAUGAGGGGCUGUGAAAAAAAUAUAUGACAAGCUUCUAAUAGUCUUUAGAGACUUUUUAUUGAUCACUCUGACCUCAAAUCAGGUAGGACUACCCGCUGAACUUAAGCAUAC